rnacentral:rRNA from 1 species
UGAGGAAUAUUGGUCAAUGGAGGAAACUCUGAACCAGCCAAGUCGCGUGAAGGAAGAAUGUCCUAAGGAUUGUAAACUUCUUUAGCGAGCGAGUAAGGACUUCCACGUGAUGGGAGUUUGAAAGUAGCCCGAGAAUAAGUACCGGCUAACUCCGUGCCAGCAGCCGCGGUAAUACGGAGGAUACGAGCGUUAUCCGGAUUUAUUGGGUUUAAAGGGUGCGCAGGUGGUCCUGCAAGUCAGUGGUGAAAAGCUGAGGCUCAACCUCAGCCUUGCCGUUGAAACUGCAAGACUUGGGAGUACAUGAUGGGGGCGGAAAGAGUAGGGUAGCGGUGAAAAGCAUAGAUAUUACGCGGAACUCCAAUUGCGAAGGCAGCUCACAAAGGUAUGUCUGACACUGAGGCACGAAAGCGUGGGGAGCAAACAGG